rnacentral:pre_miRNA from 1 species
CUGCUGCGGUUGAGCCAGCUGCAGUAGGGGAGGUGCAUCUGGGGCUGUGCCCUCCGUGGAGCCAGCAGGGGGUGGUAACAGG